GACGAACGCUGGCGGCGUGCUUAACACAUGCAAGUCGAACGGAGUGGCGAACGGGUGAGUAACACGUGGGUGAUCUGCCUUGCACUUCGGGAUAAGCUUGGGAAACUGGGUCUAAUACCGGAUAGUGCAAGAUGAGUGCGCGGCCUAUCAGCUUGUUGGUGGGGUAUUGGCCGACCAAGGCGUCGACGGGUAGCCGGCCUGGGAGGGUGUACGGCCACAUGUGGACUGAGGUAGGGCGCAGUCUCCUACGGGGGGCAGCAGUGGGGAAUAUUGCACAAUGGGGGGAAGCCUGAGGCAGCGACGCCGCGGGGGGGAUGAAGGCCUUCGGGUUGGAAACGCCUUUCGACAGGGACGCGGUACCUGUAGAAGAAGCACCGGCUAACUACGUGCCAGCAGCCGCGGUAAUAC
rnacentral:rRNA from 1 species